CUUAGGGAGGAGCUUGCGUCACAUUAGUUAGUUGGUGGGGUAAAGGCCUACCAAGACUAUGAUGUGUAGCCGGGCUGAGAGGUUGAACGGCCACAUUGGGACUGAGACACGGCCCAAACUCCUACGGGAGGCAGCAGUAGGGAAUUUUCGGCAAUGGAGGAAACUCUGACCGAGCAACGCCGCGUGAACGAUGAAGUAUUUCGGUACGUAAAGUUCUUUUAUUAGGGAAGAAUAAAUGAUGGAAAAAUCAUUCUGACGGUACCUAAUGAAUAAGCCCCGGCUAACUAUGUGCCAGCAGCCGCGGUAAUACAUAGGGGGCAAGCGUUAUCCGGAAUUAUUGGGCGUAAAGGGUGCGUAGGCGGUUAAAUAAGUUUAUGGUCUAAGUGCAAUGCUCAACAUUGUGAUGCUAUAAAAACUGUUUAGCUAGAGUAAGAUAGAGGCAAGUGGAAUUCCAUGUGUAGUGGUAAAAUGCGUAAAUAUAUGGAGGAACACCAGUAGCGAAGGCGGCUUGCUGGGUCUUUACUGACGCUGAGGCACGAAAGCGUGGGGAGCAAACAGGAUUAGAUACCCUGGUAGUCCACGCCGUAAACGAUGAGUACUAAACGUUGGGUAAAACCAGUGUUGAAGUUAACACAUUAAGUACUCCGCCUGAGUAGUACGUACGCAAGUAUGAAACUUAAAGGAAUUGACGGGACUCCGCACAAGCGGUGGAUCAUGUUGUUUAAUUCGAAGGUACCCGAAAAACCUCACCAGGUCUUGACAUGCUUCUGCAAAACUGUAGAAACACAGUGGAGGUUAUCAGUUGCACAGGUGGUGCAUGGUUGUCGUCAGCUCGUGUCGUGAGAUGUUGGGUUAAGUCCCGCAACGAGCGCAACCCUUAUUGNUAGUUACCAGCACGUAAUGGUGGGGACUUUA
rnacentral:rRNA from 1 species